AGGAAGUUGGCUCAGGUGAAGUCUUCUUUGGUGUGCCCGCAGUCCUCUAUUUUUGUACCUCUGGAAGGACAGGGAGCAAAAGGCUCGCGGGUUUCCUUACCUACACCAAACAUGUGCUAGGGAUACUCACUGAACACGACAAGUGUGGCACCAUCUUUCAUUUGCUUACCGUCUUGAGAAGAUAAAGGCAAAAGAAAUGGUUGUGCAGUGAGGCCUCUGAGAAAUAAACCUAAGAGAGUAAAGGAAAAGAUUUUUCUUCCCAACAGCCAUAGAUGUUACUGCAAAAUAACUUAAUUUUGGAGUCAGUUACCCAUAGUCCACUGUGGUCUAGAAGCAGAUGAUCUUGCUGAUAUAUCAUCAGAAGGUCGAUGGUAGCCUAAUGCUACAUCACAAUGCCUGUCACUCACUUCACUUCAUUUCAUCAUGUAGCAUUUUAUCAUCUCAUAUCAUCACAUGAAGAAGGUUUCAGUUAUCUGUGAUCAACCACAGUCUGGAAACAGAUGAUCCUCCUUCUGACAAAUGGUCAGCAGGUCAGUAGCAGCCUAACGCUACGUCACGCUGCCUGCAUCAUUCGCCCCACUUCAUCUCGUUUCAUGGGCAUUUUGUCAUCUCACAUCAUCACAAGAAGGGCGAAGCCCAUUAGCAGGUAGCACAAGCUGAAUCCUGAUUUUCUAGCUGCAAAGCACGAUGUGAAGAAUGAUGAAGAUUAGCUCAUUCUUUAGUAGAUGGUGUGAAGUGCAGUUGUGAGGGCUGGAGUUGCUGUAGUCACUUUGUCACCACGAGGAAAACUGGCCCGAAGAAGAAUCUGAUGCACAGGGAAGAACAGAGCCAAGUAGAAGAGAACACUGGAGGUGGAGUCUCGUACAAAGUGCACCUGAAGCAUACUCUCUCUCUCUGAGCCUUUUUGAGCCAC